UCAAAGUAUUCAGCCUAAUUCAUGGUUGCUUCCUUGUCUGCUAACUAAACUUUGGGACAUUAAGACAAGGUCCUGGGAAAAUAAUUUGGUAGAGGUAUUUCUCUCCUUGUUUCCCUUCUGACCAAAAAAU